UGAACGCUGGCGGCAUGCCUUACACAUGCAAGUCGAACGGCAGCACGGGUGCUUGCACCUGGUGGCGAGUGGCGAACGGGUGAGUAAUACAUCGGAACAUGUCCUGUAGUGGGGGAUAGCCCGGCGAAAGCCGGAUUAAUACCGCAUACGAUCUACGGAUGAAAGCGGGGGACCUUCGGGCCUCGCGCUAUAGGGUUGGCCGAUGGCUGAUUAGCUAGUUGGUGGGGUAAAGGCCUACCAAGGCGACGAUCAGUAGCUGGUCUGAGAGGACGACCAGCCACACUGGGACUGAGACACGGCCCAGACUCCUACGGGAGGCAGCAGUGGGGAAUUUUGGACAAUGGGCGAAAGCCUGAUCCAGCAAUGCCGCGUGUGUGAAGAAGGCCUUCGGGUUGUAAAGCACUUUUGUCCGGAAAGAAAUCCUUGGCUCUAAUACAGUCGGGGGAUGACGGUACCGGAAGAAUAAGCACCGGCUAACUACGUGCCAGCAGCCGCGGUAAUACGUAGGGUGCGAGCGUUAAUCGGAAUUACUGGGCGUAAAGCGUGCGCAGGCGGUUUGCUAAGACCGAUGUGAAAUCCCCGGGCUCAACCUGGGAACUGCAUUGGUGACUGGCAGGCUAGAGUAUGGCAGAGGGGGGUAGAAUUCCACGUGUAGCAGUGAAAUGCGUAGAGAUGUGGAGGAAUACCGAUGGCGAAGGCAGCCCCCUGGGCCAAUACUGACGCUCAUGCACGAAAGCGUGGGGAGCAAACAGGAUUAGAUACCCCUGGUAGUCCACGCCCUAAACGAUGUCAACUAGUUGUUGGGGAUUCAUUUCCUUAGUAACGUAGCUAACGCGUGAAGUUGACCGCCUGGGGAGCACGGUCGCAAGAUUAAAACUCAAAGGAAUUGACGGGGACCCGCACAAGCGGUGGAUGAUGUGGAUUAAUUCGAUGCAACGCGAAAAACCUUACCUACCCUUGACAUGGUCGGAAUCCCGCUGAGAGGUGGGAGUGCUCGAAAGAGAACCGGCGCACAGGUGCUGCAUGGCUGUCGUCAGCUCGUGUCGUGAGAUGUUGGGUUAAGUCCCGCAACGAGCGCAACCCUUGUCCUUAGUUGCUACGCAAGAGCACUCUAAGGAGACUGCCGGUGACAAACCGGAGGAAGGUGGGGAUGACGUCAAGUCCUCAUGGCCCUUAUGGGUAGGGCUUCACACGUCAUACAAUGGUCGGAACAGAGGGUUGCCAACCCGCGAGGGGGAGCUAAUCCCAGAAAACCGAUCGUAGUCCGGAUUGCACUCUGCAACUCGAGUGCAUGAAGCUGGAAUCGCUAGUAAUCGCGGAUCAGCAUGCCGCGGUGAAUACGUUCCCGGGUCUUGUACUCACCGCC
rnacentral:rRNA from 1 species